CAAUACUGUUAAGGGUAAUAUACAUUUUUUUUUUAAAUAGUAAGAUCAUUUAACAUGUUUCUGUCGAACAACAUAAACGUUAUUGUCAUCCGAACAACUGAAGAAUAAAAAGGCAAAGCUUCAAAUUUGUCUUCACACAAUAAAUGCCAAGACACGCUCUAUUGUGAUCGAUAAGAAUUUAAAAACACAAAAUAAAGCAAUAAGCCACAAUAAGCUGUGGGUUACAGUGCAUUUUAUAACAGCUAAGGGCGUUGGCGCAGUGCCUCAAACCCCAUUGGCUGUUGUAAAAUGCACUGUGACAUCUUAUAUCUGCUUAGAACUCGGCUCAGUCAAUAAAAAUCAAGGAUCAGAUCUGAUUGUUUUUUAAACACCAUUAUGACAUCGUACCGGAUUACUUAAUGAAAAGACGCGCGAAAGUUGUCAGAGUCGGUUGUGAGAGUAGCUUCGAGAUGCUGGCGUUUUGCUUUUCUCUGGUUCUUGUUGCUUUGUUUUACUUGCUCUUGCUCAAUCUGAAAUGGAAGAGGAAGAGAGCCCAACGCGUGUCUGUUCGGCGCUCAAAGCUUUAUAAUGAGCCUGAGACCAAAAAGACGAGCUUGGAGGAGAAGGUCGAGCGGCAGCAAACGUGCAGAAAGUCAUCGUUUCCAGCUCCUGUGCCCAACCUCGGCUGUGAUAUUGAAGAGCCCAUGGAUUGGAUGGACAGCAGUGGAGCAACAUCGAUGAGAACCUUGAUGUCCACCACCGUCAAAUCCAAUGCUUUGAUUCUUUGGACAGACAGCUGUGGACAAAUACGACCGAGGAACUUCAGGUCCACCCUCAACUCAAAAGCUUCUUCGUCCAGAGAGAUUUUGAGACCACGUAACAUCGUUUACAGGAGCACCUUGAUGUCCAAUAAGAUCAGGUCAAAUGGUUCAUCGUCUAGGUCGAAUUUAAGAUGUACCUUACUUCGAAAGAGCCUGAGAACAGCAGUAGAGGAACACAUGAGCACCUUGAUGUCCACUAAGAUCAUGUCAAAUAGUUCAUCACCCUGGGCGAAUAUAACAUGUGCCUUAGUUCACAAGAGCCUGAGAACCUAGUCCAUGGAUUGAAAAAACAGCAGUGGAGGAACACAUGAGCACCUUGAUGUCCACUAAGAUCAUGUCAAAUGGUUCAUCAUCCUGGGCGAAUUUAAGAUGAGCCUUACUUCGAAAGAGCCUGAGAACCAAGUCGAUGGAUUGAAAAAACAGCAGUGGAGGAACACAUGCAAGUGCCUAGAUGUCAACCAACAUCUAGUCAAAUGCCUCAUCGUCCAUAGCACUUUUGAGACGGUGUCACAUCAUUUACAGGAGCACCUUGAUGUCCACUAAGAUCAUGUCAAAUGGUUCAUCAUCCUGGGCGAAUUUAAGAUGUGCCUUAGUUCGCAAGAGCCUGAGAACCAAGUCCAUGGAUUGAAAAAACAGCAGUGGAGGAAGACAUGCAAGUGCCUGGAUGUCAACCAACAUCUAGUCAAAUGCCUCAUCGUCCUGAGCGCUUUUGAGACGGUGUCACAUCACCUUGAUGUCCACUACGAUCAGGUCAAAUGCUUCAUCGUCUGGAGGGAUUUUAAGAUUGCAGACCUAUGGAAACAGCCUCCGCCUCUGCACUGGAUAUUGUGAACCAGCAUGUGCAAAGUUCCCUAAAAAGAUUCACCAAAUUUCCACCCACCUCCCUCCAAGUGCAUCCAUUAAUUAAAAAAUAUUAUACAGUGCAUAAAACA